GACGAACCGUGCGAACGUUAUUCGGAAUCACUGGGCGUUAAAGCGCGUGUAGGCGGGGUGGCACGUCGGUCGGCUGAAAGCCCCCGGCCUCAACCGGGGAAGGGGCGCCGAUACGACCAGCCCUCGAGGGACGUAGGGGGACCUGGAACUUCCGGUGGAGCGGUGAAAUGCGUUGAGAUCCGGAAGGAACGCCCGUGGCGAAAGCGCAGGUCCUGGACGUUUUCUGACGCUGAGACGCGAAAGCCAGGGGAGCGAACGGG
rnacentral:rRNA from 1 species